UACGGAGGGUGCAAGCGUUAUCCGGAUUCACUGGGCGUAAAGGGUGCGUAGGCGGUCGGGUAAGUCUGACGUGAAAUCUCCGGGCCUAACCCGGAAACUGCGUCGGAUACUAUCCGGCUAGAGGAUUGGAAGGGAGACUGGAAUACUUGGUGUAGCAGUGAAAUGCGUAGAUAUCAAGAGGAACACCAGUGGCGAAGGCGAGUCUCUGGACAAUUCCUGACGCUGAGGCGCGAAAGCCAGGGGAGCAAACGGG
rnacentral:rRNA from 1 species